rnacentral:rRNA from 1 species
CCUACGGGUGGCAGCAGUGAGGAAUAUUGGUCAAUGGGCGCGAGCCUGAACCAGCCAAGUCGCGUGAGGGAAGACGGUUCUCUGGAUUGUAACCCUCUUUUUUCGGGGCGCAAAUGACGCCACGCGUGGCGUUCCGACAGUCCCCGUAGAGAACGCAUCGGCUAACUCCGUGCCAGCAGCCGCGGUAAUCCGGAGGAUGCGAGCGUUUUUCGGAAUUACUGGGCGUAAAGGGUGCGUAGGCGGUUUCGUAAGUCGUGUGUGAAAGGCGCGGGCUCAACCCGAGGACGUCAUAUGAUACUGCGAGACUAGAGUAAUGGAGGGGGAGCCGGAAUUCUCGGUGUAGCAGUGAAAUGCGUAGAUAUCGAGAGGAACACUCGUGGCGAAGGCGGGUUCCUGGACAUUAACUGACGCUGAGGCACGAAGGCCAGGGGAGCGAAAGGGAUUAGAUACCCUGGUAGUC